rnacentral:ncRNA from 1 species
AAAAUGACGAUGAGAGGGAAUAGUACAGUCGCGUUUCCGUUUUAGAGAGCUGCUGGUUGGUGAAAGGCAGUAACGGAAUAGAAUUGGAACUCUUCCUCGAGUAGCCGACCGAAAUUGUAAGAAAGUAGGCUCGGACGGAGCUUCCACCGUUAAAAGGAAGGAGAUAUCGGAACUUUGAUGUUAGAAGUUCGAUGUUAGAAGUUCGAUGAAAGAAAUAAUAUUUCUCGUCGGACCCCGACCACCGAAUAACGAAACUUGAUUAUUUCCGUAUCUGCAGAGAAGACAGUUAUUAACUGUCAACUUGAGUGGUACCGCGAACUAACCCUUCGUCUCAAUC